UACGGGGGGAGCAAGCGUUGUUCGGAUUUACUGGGCGUAAAGGGCGCGUAGGCGGCGCAACAAGUCACUUGUGAAAUCUCAGGGCUUAACCCGGAGCGGCCAAGUGAUACUGUCGUGCUAGAGUGCGGAAGGGGCUACUGGAAUUCUCGGUGUAGCGGUGAAAUGCGUAGAGAUGUGGAGGAACACCGAUGGCGAAGGCGGCAUCCUGGACCGGUAUUGACGCUGAGGCGCGAAAGCUAGGGGAGCAAACGGG
rnacentral:rRNA from 1 species